AAAAUAACAAAUCCUCCUUAAUAACCCUUAAUUACACUAACACCAUUAAACAAAACAUUUUUCCCCCUUAGUACGGGCGACGGAAAAGGAACUGUAGAGCAACAGAGAAAGUACCGCAAGGGAACGCUGAAAAAGAAAUGAAACAACUCAGUAAAGCACAAAAAAGCAGAGAUUUAAGCUCGUACCUUUUGCAUCAUGAUUUAGCUAGUAAACGUCAAGCAAAGAGGACUUUAGUUUGACUCCCCGAAACUAGUGUGAGCUACUCCAGGACAGCCUAUUAUAGGGCACACCCGUCUCUGUGGCAAAAGAGUGGGAAGAUCUUUGAGUAGAGGUGACAGACCUACCGAACCUAGUUAUAGCUGGUUGCCUGAGAAUUGGAUAGGAGUUCAGCCUCCCGGCUUCUCUCUUCACCCCUCGUCUAGACCCCCUUCUGACACCAAGAGAAACCGAGAGAGUUAGUCAAAGGGGGUACAGCCCCUUUGACACAAGACACAACUUUUUCAGGAGGAUAAAGAUCACAACUAUAUUAAAGGUUACAUGUUCCGGUGGGCCUAAAAGCAGCCAUCCCAAUAGAAAGCGUCUAAGCUCAGACAUAUAUUAAACCCUUCAGAUCCCGACAACCAAAUCUUAAUCCCCUAAACCUACCAGGCCAUUCCAUGCAAACAUGGAAGUGACUAUGCUAAUAUGAGUAAUAAGAGGGCAUGGCCUCUCUCCCCGCACACUUGUAAAUCGGAACGGACACCCCACCGAACCUUAACGGCCCCAAACAAAGAGGGAAGUGGAUAAUAAAUCAAGCAACAAGAAGAACCUCCAACAACGAUACCGUUAACCCUACACUGGCGUGCACCCAAGGAAAGACUAAAAGAAAGAGAAGGAACUCGGCAAACACAUGAAGUCUCGCCUGUUUACCAAAAACAUCGCCUCUUGCAAAAAUAAUGAAUAAGAGGUCCCGCCUGCCCUGUGACUAUAUGUUUAACGGCCGCGGUAUUUUGACCGUGCGAAGGUAGCGCAAUCACUUGUCUUUUAAAUGGAGACCUGUAUGAAUGGUAGAACGAGGGCUUAACUGUCUCCUCUUUCAAGUCAAUGAAAUUGAUCUCCCCGUGCAGAAGCGGGGCUAAACACAUAAGACGAGAAGACCCUAUGGAGCUUUAGACACCAAGGCAGAUUAUGUUGAAGACCCCAAGACAAAGGGCUAAACUGAGUAAGCCCUGCCCUAAUGUCUUUGGUUGGGGCGACCACGGGGAAACACAAAACCCCCGCGUGGAAUGAGAGUACUAUCUCUUACAAGCAAGAGUCCCCACUCUAGCAAACGGAACUUCCGACCAACAAGAUCCGGCUUAACGCCGAUCAACGGACCGAGUUACCCUAGGGAUAACAGCGCAAUCCCCUUUUAGAGCCCAUAUCGACAAGGGGGUUUACGACCUCGAUGUUGGAUCAGGACAUCCUAAUGGUGCAGCCGCUAUUAAGGGUUCGUUUGUUCAACGAUUAAAGUCCUACGUGAUCUGAGUUCAGACCGGAGUAAUCCAGGUCAGUUUCUAUCUAUGAUUUGAUCUUUUCUAGUACGAAAGGACCGAAAGGAAGGGGCCCAUACCCCAAGUAUGCCCCACCCUCACCUAAUGAAGUCAAAUCAAGUAGGCAACGGGGCAUGCUUUUGUGCUCAAGAGAAUAGCAU
rnacentral:rRNA from 1 species